rnacentral:rRNA from 1 species
CCGUCCCCAAGCAACGCGUAAGUGCGCCGCCUGGGAGUACGCCGCAAGGCUAAACUCAAAGAAAUUGACGGGGGCCCGCACAAGCAGAGGAGCAUGUGGCUUAAUUCGAUGCAACGCGAAGAACCUUACCUGGGCUUGACAUGCAGCUGCAAGGCCUAUGAAAGUAGGCCGCCUUCGAGGGUGCUGCACAGGUGCUGCAUGGCUGUCGUCAGUUCGUGCCGUGAGGUGUUUGGUUAAGUCCACCAACGAACGCAACCCCUUUGGCGUGUUGCCAGCGGACAAUGCCGGGAACUCGCGCCAGACUGCCUGUUCACGCAGGAGGAAGGUGGGGAUGACGUCAAGUCAGUAUGGCCCUUACGCCCAGGGCUGCACACGUGCUACAAUGGCGCAUACAGAGCGACGCGAUGCCGCGAGGCGGAGCGAACCGCAGAGAGUGCGCCCCAGUUCGGAUCGGGGUCUGCAACCCGACCCCGUGAAGUCGGAUUUGCUAGUAACGGCGCAUCAGCUACGGCGCCGUGAAUGCGUUCCCGGGCCUUGUACACACCGCCCGUCACAUCAUGAAAGCCGUCUGCACCCGAAGUCCGGCAUUAGUCGGCCUAAGGUGUGGGUGGUGAUUGGGAUG